AAAAAGGGUCGGUUGGCUAAAUAUGCCACGCUCACCCUAGCUGGUGAGUGCUGUAUGGCUAUCAAGACAUAUGGCUGACAUAAUUUGUGGAAAUUCCCAGGGUUGGCUCGCUUAGCCGACCCUCCU